CAGUUUAAUCCAGUUAUCCUGAAGACACCAGAUCCCAUCUGAUCUCGAAAGCUAAACAGGGUCAGCCCCAGUUACUACUUGGAUGGAGAUACAGUGACCCUUGGUAUCAGCUAGU
rnacentral:rRNA from 1 species